CCCGGCCCGGCCGCCAUCAGCGGAGAGAAGCCGCCCGGCCCCCGCCUCGGCCGCGACAUGGAGGCCGUGAAGGCCUUUAACAGCGAGUUGUACUCACUGAAUGAUUAUAAGCCACCCAUUUCUAAAGCUAAAAUGACACAGAUCACCAAGGCAGCAAUCAAGGCUAUAAAGUUCUACAAGCAUGUUGUGCAGAGUGUUGAGAAAUUCAUUCAAAAGUGCAAACCAGAAUACAAGGUGCCUGGUCUGUACGUCAUUGAUUCGAUUGUGAGGCAGUCCCGGCAUCAGUUUGGGCAAGAGAAGGAUGUGUUUGCUCCAAGAUUCAGCAAUAACAUCAUCAGCACUUUUCAGAACUUGUAUCGUUGUCCUGGGGAUGACAAGAGUAAAAUUGUCAGAGUGCUAAACUUAUGGCAGAAAAAUAACGUGUUCAAGAGUGAAAUUAUUCAGCCUCUUUUGGAUAUGGCAGCAGGAAUUCCUCCACCAGUUGUGACCCCCGUCUUGCCCAGUACUACUGCUGCUAUGAGCAACAAUACACCAGGAACACCUGUGACUCCAGUUACUCCAGCCAAUGUGGUGCAAAGUUUACCUGAUCCUUGGGUAUCUCAGAUUGCUAAUACAGAUACGCUUGCUGCUGUUGCCCAGAUUUUACAGAGUCCCCAAGGCCAACAGCUUCAGCAGUUGAUACAGACGCUGCAGAUACAGCAGCAGAAACCUCAGCCUUCACUACUUCAAGCCCUGGAUGCUGGUCUUGUCGUUCAGUUACAGGCCCUAACUGCACAACUUACAGCUGCAGCUGCUGCUGCCAAUACACUUAAUCCGUUGGAACAGAGUGUCUCUUUUAAUAAGAAGCUGAUGGACAGGUUUGACUUUGGGGAAGAAUCUGAACAAAAUGAGGAGUCUAAGAAGGAAACUCCCACUUCCCAACUGCCAUUAGUACCAGAAUCUGUGAACAACUCAAUUUUUCACCAACUAGCUGAACAAUUGCAGCAACAAAAUUUAGAACAUCUCAGACAACAACUUCUGGAGCAACAGCAGCCUCAAAAGGCAAGCCCUGAGGAAAAUCAGGAAGGGAAUUUUGGUUCAGAACACUCUGCAUCACCUUCACAAGGGAGCAGUCAACAGCAGUUUUUAGAAGCAGAAACAAAUGUAGAUGAUUCAAUGGAUAUUCAACAACAGGACAUGGACAUAGAUGAAGGACAGGAUGUUGCUGAGGAAGAGAUUUUUGAACAAGAAGAAAAAAAAUCUGCUGUUCGUUCAAGAUCACGAACUCGUUCAAGAUCUCGUUCAAGGUCACCAAGGAAAAGAAGGUCUAGAUCACGAUCUGGUUCUCGUAAGCGCAAACACAGAAAGCGUUCACGCUCAAGAUCAAGAGAAAGGAAGAGAAAGUCAUCUCGGUCCUACUCCAGUGAAAGAAGGGCUAGGGAAAGGGAAAAAGAACGUCAGAAAAAGGGAUUGCCUCCAAUACGGUCAAAAACACUAAGUGUUUGCAGCACUACUCUUUGGGUAGGUCAAGUAGACAAGAAGGCAACACAGCAAGAUUUGACCAACUUGUUUGAAGAAUUUGGACAAAUAGAAUCUAUUAAUAUGAUUCCCCCAAGAGGUUGUGCAUAUGUCUGCAUGGUUCAUAGACAAGAUGCAUAUCGUGCUCUUCAGAAGCUUAGUUCUGGGUCCUACAAAAUUGGAUCGAAAAUUAUUAAGAUUGCCUGGGCUUUAAAUAAAGGUGUGAAAACAGAGUAUAAGCAAUUCUGGGAUGUGGAUCUGGGAGUUUCAUAUAUUCCUUGGGAGAAGGUAAAACUGGAUGAUUUGGAGGGCUUUGCUGAAGGUGGCAUGAUUGAUCAGGAGACAGUAAAUACAGAAUGGGAAACAGCAAGGAGCUCAGAGCCUCCUAAAGAAAAUAUUCAAACUACGCAGAGUACUGCAGUUGAUAAGAGCACAGUGAUUACAACGCAGACAGAAGCUUACACACAGCCAGUCACUAUGCUACAGAUUCCAGUAGCUCCAGCUGUGCCUGCUGUUAGCUUAGUUCCACCUGCGUUUCCUGUCACAAUGUCUGUUCCUCCUCCUGGUUAUAGUGCCAUUCCUCCUCCACCCUUCUUGCGAGCAAGUUUCAAUCCUUCACAGCCACCUCCAGGUUUUAUGCCUCCCCCAGUUCCUCCUGUUGUUCCUCCUCCUGUUGUCCCACCACCUGUUGUCCCACCAGUUGUUCCAACAUCUUUAGUACAGCCUCCAUUACCAAUUGCUCAAGAGACGAUGAAGGAUGUACCUUUUACUGGCCUGGUUCUACCAGUUGUUGGCACAGUUAGUAGCAAUCUAGCUACUCCAACAUUAUCUUCUGGAAGCAUCUUUAAUCCUCUGCCAAUCAACAAACAAGAACCUGAUGAAAAGGGAUCUCAUCUUGCAGACCUUCAGAUUUCUUCCAGUGAAAAUGGUAGAGCUGUGCAAAGUGAUGUCUCAAGUAGCUCUGGACUUGUUGGAGGAAUGCAGCCACCCAGUGUCUCAAGCAGUUCUGGGUUAACUGGAGAAGGCCAGCCACCCAGUGUCUCAAGCAGCUCUGGACUUGCAGGCGGAGUACAGCCACCCAGUGUCUCAAGCAGCUCUGGACUUGGAGGAGGAGUGCAACCACCAACUGUUUCAAGCAGUUCUGGUCUUGUGGGAGGAGUGCAACUACCCAGUGUCUCCAGUAGCUCUUCUCUUGCAGGAGGAGUUCAGCCAACCAGCGUCUCGAGCAGCUCUGGACUUAUGGCUGGAGUGCAACCACCAAAUGUCUCAAGUAGCUCAGGGCUUCUAGCUGGAGUGCAUCCACCCAAUAUCUCAAGCAGCCCUGGCCUUCUACCAGGAAUGCAGCCUCCCAGUGUUUCGAGUAGCUCAGGAGUUCUGGCAGGAGUACAGCCACCGAGUGUCUCAAACAACUCUGGUCUUCUCCUAAUGCCACCACCGAAUGUUUCAAGUAGUUCUGGACUUAUGGGAGUGCCACCACCAAAUAUUUCAAGUAACUCUGGACUUCUGGCAAUACAGCACCCAGCUGGUGUUCAAAAUAUGCCUCAUUUAAAUAUUAGUAGUCAAAGGAUGCCAGGAAUGCCUCUCAUAGAUAUCCGUCCAGGCCUAAUGCCCCAUUCACCUGGACCAAGGUUUCCAUUAAUGCAGCCAGGAAUACCACCACAGCGUAGUAUUCCUCCUCCAGCAAUCCUUGAUCCAUCUCUUCACCCUCCGCCUCGAGGUCCUUUUCCUCCAGGAGAUAUUUUUAAUCAAACAGAAAGACCUUUUGCAACACCAGGAAGACAAAAUAUUGAUAGCAUUUCUAAUCCAGAGAAAAGGUUACCACUUGGAGGCGAUAAUAUUCAGCAGGAGGGAGACAGAGAUUAUCGCUUUCCUCCAGUGGAAAACCGAGAUAAUCUCAACAGACCAUCCCAAGUGGAUGUCAGAGAUUCUGUUGGACGACCACCAGUUGAUCCAAGAGAGGGCAUAGGAAGACCUCCAGUAGAUGGAAGAGAACAUUUUGCAAGACCUCAUGUUGACAUGAGAGAAAAUUUUGGAAGACCAGGUAUAGAUAAUCUUGGUCGAAGAGAGCAUUUUGCUUUCAAUUCAGAUAAGCACUGGGGACAAAGAGGAGAUUAUGAUGAAAGAGAGCACCAUGCCUUUCCUAUUUAUGGUGGCCCUAAAGGCUUCCAUGAGGACAGAGAGAGAUUUCGGCAUGUAAACUAUAGGUUUGAUAGUAGAAGUGGUCCCAGCUGGAAUAGAGGAUUUGAACAAGAUGCUCACAGAGAUUUUGAUGACCGCAGAAGACCCUGGGAAAGACAGAGGGACAGGGAUGACAGAGAUUUUAACUUCUGCAGAGAAAUCAAUGGAAACAGGUUUGGAAGAGACAGAAUGUCAAACAACUGGAUCCCCCCUCCACACCCACGGGUUUUUGAAUACUUUGAUGGGGCCACUUCCCAACGCAAAGCGGAUAAUUUGCCCCAGGUGAACGGUGAAAAUACAGAGACAGAAAGUCAACCACCAACUGCACAGGUGCAGGACGAUCCAGAACUUUAUGAAAAACUGACAUCUUCCGUCGAGAUAAACAAAGAGAAGAGUGACACAGAAGCUGAUAUAGAAAGUGAACCAGUGGUAGAAAGCACAGAAACUGAGGGGACAUAAUCAUCACUCAGUAGAAAUCAGGGGGCUUUGUGUUUUGGUGGCUUAAUACUGAAGGAGAAAAUCUUGUUAAAUUGCUGAGAGGAAUUGGCUGCUUAGCUUUAUUAAAUUGGUGUCCUGACAUUUGGCUGCUUGCUGCUCUGAAACCAGCAGAGGGUGCACAGAAUGUAUUCAGCUGUAGCUGUUUCUUCACGAUCCCUUGUGUUACUGCUACAUAGGAACCAGACAACUGCCCUCCUAGGCCCUAUUCAGGCAAGAUGAAGGAAGUUCUGGCAGCUUACCAUGCCCCUGGCUCUGCAGAGUUAAGCGAGACGUGCGCCCAUGUUCUAGCAUGCAUCACAUCGCCUCUCGGGUCUGAAGUGCCAGCAGGAUCCCAGCGCUGCAGACUGAGACGGCUCUGAGCACCUCAGUACCCCGUUUCUGACAGAACCCAGGGAUGGCAGACUUACAUACCAGUAUUACCUGUCUGACGCAGGUUUAAUUUUAUAAAUUAAAACCAUAAACUCUAUGAGUUUCUAGACCAUAUUUGUGCUGUUGAGGAUGAUCUACUCAGAUGAACAGUUUUGCAUCCAUCGGAGAGAGAGGUUCUUCUGCUGGACCAGAAGACAACAUUAUUGUAACUAAUACCAUUUGUAGCAUCUCCUAGUGCAAAUAACUGAAGAUCAGGUUGCAAGAAAAUCCUCUAGGGAAUAAGACAUGCUUGGUUUUGGUCUACAGAUUUUAAGAAAUGUUGUUUUUGUUUUUGUUUUUUUUAAAGGUAACCACUUUUACAUGACACUACGUGUGCAGUCUAUGUGCAGCUCUUCACUGUGGCUAUCUAUAUUCCAGAGAUUUUUAAUUGCUUGUCAGACACUCGAACCUUUUUUAGAUUUGUGAUGAAUCCUUAAAUUAUGAAAGCAUCAUGGAAAAUUAGAAAGGAAAAGUUUCAAGGCUUUUAUUUGACUAAAUAUCUCCACUUAUUCCCUGUUAGUGUCUUCGAUGGUGGAAGAAAGGGUGGGAAGUAGGAAAAAAUACAAAAGAACAACACAUUGUGGGCUUGGUGUUUUGGCAUAUCAGAAUGUUUGAUCAAAUUACUAAGGAGAAACAGCUAACUUACCUGAGGCCUCACAUGACAGGUUAGUAUUUUGGGGCAGUAUUUGCUGAUUUUUUUUCUCCAAAAUAGCUAUAGAAAAGAAGGAUUAUGUAUAUGCCCCAACAUAUGGUGAAAAGGACAUACUUGCCAUUCCUCUAUUUAUUUUUGCUCUUUCAUAAAUCAAAGUGCCAGUUAUUUGGAAUGCUGUAGUCUGUGGUCUCUUUAAAUUUCUUUAGUGAGAUCCUUUCAGCAAGAUCAUUCCCAUUAUGGUGUAACUGCAUGGUGACCACAGCUUUGGGCCUGUAUAAUAAAGAUCUGAAUUCAA